UACGGAGGGUGCAAGCGUUAUUCGGAAUUACUGGGCGUAAAGCGUGCGUAGGCGGUUUGUUAAGUCUGUUGUGAAAGCCCCGGGCUCAACCUGGGAAUGGCAAUGGAUACUGGCAAGCUAGAGUGUGAUAGAGGAUGGUGGAAUUCCCGGUGUAGCGGUGAAAUGCGUAGAGAUCGGGAGGAACAUCAGUGGCGAAGGCGGCCAUCUGGAUCAACACUGACGCUGAGGCACGAAAGCGUGGGGAGCAAACAGG
rnacentral:rRNA from 1 species